rnacentral:rRNA from 1 species
AACGAACGCUGGCGGCAGGCUUAACACAUGCAAGUCGAGCGCCCCGCAAGGGGAGCGGCAGACGGGUGAGUAACGCGUGGGAAGCUACCCAUCUCUACGGAAUAGCGCCGGGAAACUGGAAUUAAUACCGUAUACGCCCUACGGGGGAAAGAUUUAUCGGGGAUGGAUGAGCCAGCGUUGGAUUAGCUAGUUGGUGGGGUAAAGGCCUACCAAGGCGACGAUCCAUAGCUGGUCGGAGAGGAUGAACAGCCACAUUGGGACGGAGACACGGCCCAAACUCCUACGGGAGGCAGCAGUGGGGAAUAUUGGACAAUGGGGGCAACCCUGAUCCAGCCAUGCCGCGUGAGUGAUGAAGGCCUUAGGGUUGUAAAGCUCUUUCACCGGGGAAGAUAAUGACGGUACCCGGAGAAGAAGCCCCGGCUAACUUCGUGCCAGCCGCCGCGGUAACAC